rnacentral:rRNA from 1 species
GUGACUGCGUACCUUUUGUAUAAUGGGUCAGCGACUUAUAUUCUGUAGCAAGGUUAACCGUAUAGGGGAGCCGCAGGGAAACCGAGUCUUAACUGGGCGUUAAGUUGCAGGGUAUAGACCCGAAACCCGGUGAUCUAGCCAUGGGCAGGUUGAAGGUUGGGUAACACUAACUGGAGGACCGAACCGACUAAUGUUGAAAAAUUAGCGGAUGACUUGUGGCUGGGGGUGAAAGGCCAAUCAAACCGGGAGAUAGCUGGUUCUCCCCGAAAGCUAUUUAGGUAGCGCCUCGUGAACUCAUCUUCGGGGGUAGAGCACUGUUUCGGCUAGGGGGUCAUCCCGACUUACCAACCCGAUGCAAACUACGAAUACCGAAGAAUGUUAUCACGGGAGACACACGGCGGGUGCUAACGUCCGUCGUGAAGAGGGAAACAACCCAGACCGCCAGCUAAGGUCCCAAAGUCAUGGUUAAGUGGGAAACGAUGUGGGAAGGCACAGACAGCCAGGAUGUUGGCUUAGAAGCAGCCAUCAUUUAAAGAAAGCGUAAUAGCUCACUGGUCGAGUCGGCCUGCGCGGAAGAUGUAACGGGGCUAAACCAUGCACCGAAGCUGCGGCAGCGACACUAUGUGUUGUUGGGUAGGGGAGCGUUCUGUAAGCCUGCGAAGGUG